rnacentral:lncRNA from 1 species
UUUGUGGUCACUCACCGUUGGAUGUAAAUUCAACGGUUCACUCACUCUUGCACUCAUUUUAAAAAAAACUUUUUGAACCAUUGGAUUAAUAUCCAACGGUGGGUGACCACAAUCUCUUGGACUCCUGUAGUCCAAGAGAUCGGGACUAAUAUAGAAUGGUGUUGUUGACCAUACAUAAAAUACAUGUUCCUCAAGACCAAAUCUGGACUGUCGAUAUGUAUUAGAUCAAUCUCAAGGGCAGAUACAAAGAACCAAGGGGCCCCUUAUAUUUAUUUAUAUAUUGAUAAGAGAGUCUGACUCGUUAUCUUUGAUCUGGAGGAAGGAAAGAGGCCGAUGACGUGGCAGAAGUUGUC